UACCCAGUGAGUGUGGGAAGUGAGUACAUGGGGAAGUGUCAGGGAGCAGAAACCGGAAGCUCCAGUUUGAGGUUUGUGCAUCAAUGAGAAGAUGAGACAAGAGACUGAGUUUCCUGGAAAAGCCACUCCCUUUUGAGUGUCAGGCCCAGAGAGUGUCAGCCACUCACUCCCUCUUUACAGGCCAGGAGCUGCUCUCCUGCUGGGCUGACCCCGUCCCACUGCCCUGCUGGAGUGGCCAGAUGUUCCUGUUCCCUGUCCUGUGGAGCUGGGUGAUCAUGGCUGUUGGGAGCACAGAUGCCGCCGCAAGCCUGGUGGAGCAACGCCCCCGAUGGGUCCUGGUACGUCGCGGACAGGCUGAAACCCUGCACUGCACCCUGAGGAAUUCCCAGUACCCCUGGAUGAGCUGGUACCAGCAGGAUUCUCAGGGCCAACUGCAGGUGCUGACCAGUCUGCGGAAUGUGGGCGAUAACGAGGCCACAUCCCUUCCUGGAGCAGAUUAUCAGGCCAAGCGGGUCAGUGACACUGAGCUGAGGCUGCUUGUGGCCAAUGUCACCCAGAGAAGAACCUUGUUCUGCACCUGCAGUGAAGACACAGUGAGACGCCCUCCUUGGAUCAGUGACUAAAAACCACCCCUGGCU